rnacentral:rRNA from 1 species
AUUGAACGCUGGCGGAAUGCUUUACACAUGCAAGUCGAACGGCAGCACGGACUUCGGUCUGGUGGCGAGUGGCGAACGGGUGAGUAAUAUAUCGGAACGUAUCCAAUAAUGGGGGAUAACUAAUCGAAAGGUUGGCUAAUACCGCAUACGUCCUACGGGAGAAAGCUAGGGACCUUCGGGCCUGGCGUUAAUGGAGCGGCCGAUAUCGGAGUAGCUAGUUGGUGAGGUAAAGGCUCACCAAGGCGACGAUCCGUAGCUGGUAUGAGGGGUAGACCAGCCACAAUGGAACUGAGACACGGACCAGAAUCCGGCGGGAGGCAGCAGUGGGGAAUUUUGGACAAUGGGCGAAAGCCUAAUCCAGCCAUUCCGCGUGAGUGAAGAAGGCCUUCGGGUUGUAAAGCUCUAUCGAAAGAGAAGAAAACUUACCCUCUAACAUAGGGUGAGGUUGACGGUAUCUUGAUAAGAAGCACCGGCUAACUACGUGCCAGCCGCCGCCGUAA